GUGGUUUUAGCUCAGUUGGUUAGAGCGUCUGAUUGUGGUUCAGAAGGUCGUGGGUUCGAGCCCCAUAUUCCACCCGA
rnacentral:tRNA from 1 species